rnacentral:rRNA from 1 species
GGACGGGUGAGUAAUGUCUGGGAAACUGCCCGAUGGAGGGGGAUAACUACUGGAAACGGUAGCUAAUACCGCAUAACGUCGCAAGACCAAAGUGGGGGACCUUCGGGCCUCACACCAUCGGAUGUGCCCAGAUGGGAUUAGCUAGUAGGUGGGGUAAUGGCUCACCUAGGCGACGAUCCCUAGCUGGUCUGAGAGGAUGACCAGCCACACUGGAACUGAGACACGGUCCAGACUCCUACGGGAGGCAGCAGUGGGGAAUAUUGCACAAUGGGCGCAAGCCUGAUGCAGCCAUGCCGCGUGUAUGAAGAAGGCCUUCGGGUUGUAAAGUACUUUCAGCGGGGAGGAAGGCGGUGAGGUUAAUAACCUUGCCGAUUGACGUUACCCGCAGAAGAAGCACCGGCUAACUCCGUGCCAGCAGCCGCGGUAAUACGGAGGGUGCAAGCGUUAAUCGGAAUUACUGGGCGUAAAGCGCACGCAGGCGGUCUGUUAAGUCAGAUGUGAAAUCCCCGGGCUUAACCUGGGAACUGCAUUUGAAACUGGCAGGCUUGAGUCUCGUAGAGGGGGGUAGAAUUCCAGGUGUAACGGUGAAAUGCGUAGAGAUCUGGAGGAAUACCGGUGGCGAAAGCGGCCCCCUGGACCAACACUGACUCUCACGUGCGAAAGCGUGUGGAGCAAACAGGAUUACAUACCCUGGUAGUCCACGCCGUAGACGAUGUCGACUUGGAGGUUGUGCCCUUGAUGCGUGGCUUCCUGAGCUAACGCGUUAAGUCGACCGCCUGGGGGAGUACGGCCGCAAGGUUAAAACUCAAAUGAAUUGACGGGGGCCCGCACAAGCGGUGGAGCAUGUGGUUUAAUUCGAUGCAACGCGAAGAACCUUACCUGGCCUUGACAUCCAGAGAACUUAGCAGAGAUGCUUUGGUGCCUUCGGGAACUCUGAGACAGGUGCUGCAUGGCUGUCGUCAGCUCGUGUUGUGAAAUGUUGGGUUAAGUCCCGCAACGAGCGCAACCCUUAUCCUUUGUUGCCAGCGGUUCGGCCGGGAACUCAAAGGAGACUGCCGGUGAUAAACCGGAGGAAGGUGGGGAUGACGUCAAGUCAUCAUGGCCCUUACGGCCAGGGCUACACACGUGCUACAAUGGCGCAUACAAAGAGAAGCGACCUCG